GAUCCAUUCUCUGCCACCGAAUACAUUAGCAUGGGAUAAUGGAAUAGGACCCUGUCCUCCUAUUUUCAGUUGGUUUUGCACGCGAGGACUAGGGUAAUGAUUAAUAGGGAUAGUUGGGGGCAUUAAUAUUUAAUUGUCAGAGGUGAAAUUCUUGGAUUUAUGAAAGAUUAACUUCUGCGAAAGCAUCUGCCAAGGAUGUUUUCAUUAAUCAAGAACGAAAGUUAGGGGAUCGAAGACGAUCAGAUACCGUCGUAGUCUUAACCAUAAACGAUGCCGACCAGCGAUUAGGAGACGUUGAAUACAAAACACCACCAUCGGCGCGGUCGUCCUUGGCUCGUCGCGCGAGCGGCGGGCGGGGGCGGCUUAGCCCGAUGGCACCGGUGAAUGACUCCCCUAGCAGCUUGUGAGAAAAA
rnacentral:rRNA from 1 species